rnacentral:snRNA from 1 species
AGAAACUUUGGUUUUGAAAACACAAAAUAUAAAAUAAACUAAAGAAGACAUGGCCCCUACGCAAGGAUGACAUGCACAAUCGAGAAAUGGUCCAAAAUUUU